rnacentral:rRNA from 1 species
GACGAACGCUGGCGGCGUGCUUAACACAUGCAAGUCGAACGGAAAGGCCCUGCUUUUGUGGGGUGCUCGAGUGGCGAACGGGUGAGUAACACGUGAGUAACCUGCCCUUGACUUUGGGAUAACUUCAGGAAACUGGGGCUAAUACCGGAUAGGAGCUCCUGCUGCAUGGUGGGGGUUGGAAAGUUUCGGCGGUUGGGGAUGGACUCGCGGCUUAUCAGCUUGUUGGUGGGGUAGUGGCUUACCAAGGCUUUGACGGGUAGCCGGCCUGAGAGGGUGACCGGCCACAUUGGGACUGAGAUACGGCCCAGACUCCUACGGGAGGCAGCAGUGGGGAAUAUUGCACAGUGGGCGGGAGCCUGAUGCAGAAACGCCGCGUGCGGGAUGAAGGCCUUCGGGUUGUAAACCGCUUUCGCCUGUGACGAAGCGUGAGUGACGGUAAUGGGUAAAGAAGCACCGGCUAACUACGUG